rnacentral:rRNA from 1 species
UACGGAGGGUGCAAGCGUUGCUCGGAAUUAUUGGGCGUAAAGGGUAGGUAGGUGGUCUCAUUUGUCUGGGGUGAAAUCCUUGAGCUUAACUCAAGAAGUGCCCCAGAAACGGUGAGACUGGAGUCCUGGAGAGGUGAGCGGAAUUCCCGGUGUAGCGGUGAAAUGCGUAGAGAUCGGGAGGAACACCAGAGGCGAAGGCGGCUCACUGGACAGGCACUGACACUCAACUACGAAAGCGUGGGGAGCAAACAGG